rnacentral:rRNA from 1 species
UACGUAGGGGGCAAGCGUUAUCCGGAUUCACUGGGCGUAAAGGGAGCGCAGGCGGCAUGGCAAGUCUGAUGUGAAAACCCGGGGCCCAACCCCGGGAGUGCAUUGGAAACUGCCAGGCUGGAGUGUCGGAGGGGUAAGCGGAAUUCCUAGUGUAGCGGUGAAAUGCGUAGAUAUUAGGGGGAACACCAGUGGCGAAGGCGGCUUACUGGACGACUACUGACGCUGAGGCUCGAAAGCGUGGGGAGCAAACAGG